GUCGCGGCGCCUCCGGUGCACAGCGUGCGUGUGCUCACCGCCAAACCCAGCCAUCGGACGUGUGGAUCGUUCCUGCCCUCGUUCCGCACCGAUGACCGGUCCAUCGUUUCGACCAGCACCAGGACAAUCGGGAUCAUUGCAUCGCAUUCCCGUACGUACGAGUUGCGCGUUCGGAUAAUUACCGUAUGCCGAGGAAAUAUUGGACCGUUACAGGAGUCAACAAAAUACAGAGGUUCUUAAAUUUCGGAAGCUUCAUUUCCACGGUGAUAAAAUGAACGCGAAGGAAAAGUUGAAACGCGAGUUAGCGUGGAGGAGCGUGGGGCAGGCAAGGAUCCAGCAGCGGUGCACGAUGUAAUAUAAACGUCGUAAAAUAGGAACCAGGUGAAUCGUAUAAUUCGCGAGGGGGAGGAGGGAAGGACCGAAAGGAGGUUCGUCGAGUAAUUCUCAACCAUGCUGCGACACGUCCCUCUUUCUCCGCGCACGCAUUACCACGAACCACCACGUACGACGACCGCAUCGCACACGUGCUGCUUAUAUCGCUCUCGGCACGAGGGAGCCUCGCCGGAAGGAAGGGGAAGGACGACCAGCGUGUCUGCAUCCGAGGCGAAAUACCGGAGGUCGAUCCUGGUGCAACCCUUUAUCUAAAUGUUAUUGCAGCUUGUAUCGUAUUAAGAAACAGUUUUGGAAGCAGGUGUAGUCGGUUCACACUAGGCACAGGAAAUUGGUUAUCCUUAUUUUGGGCCAGAUAAGACUUUAUGGGGAAUUUGCUUUUAAACGUGCCGCCUUGAUAGAAUGGCCCCUGUUUAACGAUAUGCCACUCCUAAAGUCAACAGAACGCCGGUGAAUUCGUUCUUUGUUUAACAGCGAACUGGUGCACUUGUAUCCUCUGAUGCAUUUUAUCUUUGUUCGUAGAUUUCUGUUAUUAUUGCCUUUGCUCCAGCUGCUUUUUCGGAUGAUUACUUCCGGUUCUUGGUAUUCUCACGCGCCGCUGGGAUAUGUACGCAAUAAUAUGGUCGUAAGGUUUUUAUGACGGGACGUCUUCUGCUUCGUGUUUCUAUGUUCGAGAACUUCCUUCCGCGUCGAUACAGAAUUUGCUCUCACAGCAAAAUUGUAUACCCCCUUUUAUUGUUUUGCGUGCGUCUGUAUAGACGAACUUACAAAAGUUCAUUAAAAAUUGUGCAGCUAAAUUGCUCAUUCAUAAAAGGGGUGCAGCACUUUAUGAUACAAAAUAAUCCGUUCAUUAAUUAUUUACAAGUUUGAUAAUAUAUAAUAAAAUAAUAUUGUAAAAUAGAAAGGAAAAAGUAUCCCUUAGAACGUAGUUUCUCAAUUCUCUUUCUCCAGAUCAAAAGCAAUCUUACUUUUACUAUUCCCUUUUCCCCAAGAAAAUAUUUACUAGACUUUCGGGUCAAAAUGUUAGCCGCGCUCUUUAUAGUUCCUUAAAAGGUGCGGCACAUUUGCAGACACGUGCUCUCCUAGAUGUCCUACUCUUUUACACGCAUUGCGUGUACGUUCACGUGACAGCCACCUAAACAGGGGUUAAUACAUCUCUACGGGUGGGGAGUUGAAAUCAUUUAUAAGCUAUAAAUGGGGAUUUUUGGUCUG